rnacentral:lncRNA from 1 species
UACCUACAUUCCAGGAAAUUGUGCACCACAAAUAAGAGCUAAUAAAGAGACCCGCAAUUCCGUAGAAAGACAUCACGAUUCCUUGUGGAAAAAAAAUGAUUUGCUGAGGCGGAAAAAAAGAUAGCAAAUUUCUACCAAGAUAACUGGAAGUUCCAACUAAUAAGAAGCCUAAUGAACCUAAAAAAAGGAUCAAGGCCCAGCAGAAAUUACUUAUUUUUCGAGACCCCGUUAUAAGUUCUAUCCAUAUAUCGUCUGAUCGCCAAGUCAUACUUUACUCGAUUGCAUUUUAUUGGAAUUGAGAUAAUACCCCAGAAAAAUUUGACUUUACUUUUUUGUUUCCGAAGUAACUCUCAUCAACUAGCACUAGUUUGAGGUGAACUAGCACUAGUUUGAUGUCAACCUUUAGGAGUAAUUCAUCAAAUUGGUUAAAUCUAAAAUAAUAACAUACUCUUUAUUUAAUACGAUCCCACUAUACAUAUCGAUAUACAUAUAGAUUCACCGACUACAUUUCAGCCAUCCAGAGAUCCUGAUCUAUUUGAAAAUUGCUAGAAUUGAUAUAUCCAUAUAUCAUGUUUCUGCGGGCAUAAGAGUUUUUUCCUUUAUGUUCGGUGGAAAUCACAUGUUAUACUAUACUCCAAUAAAUAGAUAUCCGUGUUAUGAUACAAGUCCACGUUUUCAAAAAAAAAAAUGGAUGAGAUUGGGUCCCAGCGGAUCUAAACAAUCUUGUUUUUUUGAACAUGAAGAAAUAAAGAAGCCAUUGCAAUUGCCGGAAAGACUAGGCCUACUAACGGCACAAAAAUAGAUGGAAGGUUCAAAUUUGUCAUAGAAGGGGUACCUCGAUUUACUAUUUGUAUCUGUUAUUAUGUUAUUAUAUAAAUAAAGAUAUCUUGUAAUAAUUAUAAUUAAAUUAAGAAUUUGAAUUCUAAUUAGAUAUUAGAUAAUAUUUAUUAUUAAUAGAAUUUGAAGAAUUUGAAAUUCUUAGUAUAGAUCGAAGUAUCGAUAUAUCUAAAUCUAACUGAGUACGUAUAAUAAGAAUAAGUGCAAAGAAUGUAGAACUGUAGAACUAAAUAAAUGGACUUAUUCAUCUCCUCCAUGAGAAAGAUAUGUAUGAUAAUAAACUUUAUUAUUUUUCUUCAUUUCUUUGUCUUUUGUUCUUGUCUUCUACUUUUCUAAAAAUAGAUAAAGAGUUUUUUACAGAUUAUCGACGGAUUCAUUCGAAUCCGACCCAACAUGGAUUUUUAGCUAAAAUGGUUUUUCGGUAGAUAGAGAAAGAUACAAAACUCUAUUAUCUCUAUUGAAAUUUCAAAUUAUAUACCUAAGACAAGACCAAAUUCGUUUUAUUUUACUAAUUUCACGAAAGGAAGAACUCACUCUUGGUGAUAAAGGUUUCUUGAUUCGUAAUCAGGAAUAUAGGUCAAAAAAAGAGUUAUCCUCAACUUUCGUUUUAAUUCUUUCUACAAUUCGAUCUUCUAUCACCAAAGAAAAGGCCAUUAUUAUCUUAUUUACUUUGAUUCCGAUAAACUAACUACUUUUUGCUACAAACACAAAAAAAAUAAUUGAACUUAGUGCUCUACUUGAUUUUGCUUGACUUUUGAUUCAAAGGAAAAAAGGCGUGGAGCUUAAAUAACUCACUCAGAACGCUUUUUAAAAGAUUACGUGGUACAAUUAGGUCGAAUAAACCCUUCUGGAAUAAGUAUUCAGCUGCUUGUGAACCUUCGGGUACUGUUUUAUUCAAUGUUUGUUCAAUUACUCUUUUACCUGCAAAUGCAAUGUAGGCAUUGGGUUCGGCAAUAAUGAUAUCCCCCAACAUACCAAAACUAGCUGUCACUCCACCAGUUGUCGGAGAUGUAAGGAUUGAUACAUAAAAUAAUUUUUUAUUUAAUUGAUAAUCAUAUAAAGCAGACGAUAUUUUAGCCAUUUGCAUCAAGCUCAAACUUCCUUCCUGCAUGCGCGCCCCCCCAGAAGCACACACUAUCAUAAGAGGUAAAUUUUGAUUGGCAGCGUGUUCAAUCAAACGGGUGAUUUUCUCUCCGACUACGGAUCCCAUACUACCCCCCAUAAACUGAAAAUCCAUAACCCCAAUUGCUACGGGAAUGCCGUUUAGUUGGCCUAUGCCUGUUUGAACAGCCUCGGUUAAUCCUGUCUUUCUUUGAUAAGAAUCAAUACGGUCCUUAUAAGGCUCCUCCUCCGAAUGAAAUUCAAUGGGAUCCAGCGAGACCAUGUCUUCAUCCAUAGGAUCCCAAGUACCCGGAUCGAUCAAAAGUUCAAUUCUAUCCGAACUACUCAUUUUCAAAUGAUAUCCACAUUGUUCACAAAUAUUCAUUUUUGAUUUCAAAAAUUUCUUAUAAUUUAAUCCAUAACAAUUUUCGCAUUGAACCCACAAAUGCUUGUAUUUUUGAGUUACCUCGAGAUCAUUAGAACUUUCUCUUAUAGUUAAAUCACUGUCCUUUGUGCGAGUUCGUCUACUGGAACCCUCGUUUUCACUACUAUUUAGACUUUGACCACUACAAAUGGCCCUAUAAAUGUAACUGUCACCGUUACUCUCACUACCACUUAUAAUGGAAGUAUCUAUACAGAUUUGAGACUGAAGAUAAUUAUCAAUGCAACUAUUAAUGUGAUUAUUCCAACUAUAUUGAGUAUCAUACAUGUAAGAAUUAUAGUAGGGAUCUUCGCCCCUAAAUCCAUUAUUCAGAUAACUCGAGUUUCGAUAACUAUAAAAAGAACUUUCUAGUUCACUCAGAAAAGAAUGAUCGUUGUCAACCUCAAAAAUAUGAUUUUCAAUAUCAAAAUAGAUGGAAUAACUGUCCCCAUUCCUAUCACUAACUAAAAAAGUGUCAUUAGAGAUGAAAUUCCAAAUGUCUUUAACGCCGAAUAAAUAAUCAACAUUACUGCAACUAUGAAUGUUUUUCACUUUUAGAUUUGGAUCUUCACUGGUAUUUUCAAUAGGACCAAGACUGCCCAUUGAUUUAUUUAGCCCACACCUGCGUUCGAACUCCUUCUUAAACAACAUCGAAUUAAACCACCAUCUUUCCAUAGAGUUUUCUUGCCCCCUAUUUGCAUGAAAAUACAAUAGAUGAAUAGUCAUUCGCUAUAAAAUUCUUUAUUUGAAUAUCUUAUUUCCUAUCAGACUAAGCAUAGAAAUCCAAUCACUAGGAUUAUUAACUAAUACGGAUUGUGAGUAUUCAAAAAAAGUUCUGAAUCUGGGGGAACACUUCACUAUAUAUUAAUAUGUUGGAACCCCCUUUUAUUAUUAAAAAGAAUAUAAAAAUAAUAGAAUUUUUGAUAAAGGGCGGCUUCUCCUAUGUCGUGUCAAAUUCGCAUCGAAAAAAAGAGAUUUGUCCUCUCUUAUAAAUAUAAAGAAAUAAAAAAAAUUCGUAAAAUCUCGUCUAAUACUAAUAUCUAAUCACUAACUAAUCUAACAAUCUAAAAUCUAAUAAUAAGUAAUAAAUUAAGGUUCUAUUUCAACACGGAACAAAGGGGACAAUAUACAGGAUGGGUAGAAAGAGUUGGAAUACUUGGCUUGAUUCAGGGAAACUACAAACUACAGGAUAGAAAAGAAUAUACCAAUCCUAAGGAUCCGUAGGAUUAAUUGUGGAUCCAAGACAAUAAUAGAAAGAUUUGAGUCUUAGAUUUUGAUUUAGUUUUCUAGAUUUUGUAUUUCAAAUCUUGAUCAAAAUAUAUGCAAUAGAAUCUUAGUUGUAUUCGGCCCAAUCUUUUACUAAAAGGAUUGAGCCGAAUUAAAUUGUAAUGUAAUUCAAUUAAGAGAACGAAGGAUAAUUACUUGAGUUCUUUCUCCUUAUCCUUCUUUAUUUCCUGCUAAUUUAUCUGCUAAUGUCUACUGUUUUUACUUAUCCAAAACGUCCACUGCUGCAAAAUUAAAUACGAUCUCUUUCCAUACCUCACAAGCAGCAGCUAGUUCCGGGCUCCAUUUGCAAGCCUCGCGAAUAAUCUCAUUACCUUCCCGAGCAAGAUCACGUCCUUCAUUACGAGCUUUUACACAUGCUUCUAGAGCUACUCGAUUAGCUACGGCACCUGGCGCAUUACCCCAAGGAUGUCCUAAAGUUCCUCCACCGAACUGUAGUACGGAAUCAUCCCCAAAGAUCUCGGUCAGAGCAGGCAUAUGCCAAACGUGAAUACCUCCUGAAGCCACAGGUAGAACACCUGGUAAAGAGACCCAAUCUUGAGUGAAAUAAAUACCGCGACUUCUAUCUUGUUCAACAAAAUCAUCACGCAGUAAAUCAACAAAGCCCAAAGUUAUGUCUCUUUCACCUUCAAGUUUACCUACUACGGUACCAGAGUGAAUAUGAUCUCCACCAGACAUACGUAACGCUUUUGCUAAUACCCGGAAGUGGAUACCAUGAUUCUUCUGUCUAUCAAUAACCGCAUGCAUUGCACGGUGGAUGUGAAGAAGUAGACCAUUAUCUCGGCAAUAAUGAGCCAAGGUAGUAUUUGCGGUAAAUCCCCCCGUUAAGUAGUCAUGCAUUACGAUCGGAACGCCCAAUUCUCUAGCAAAUACAGCUCUUUUGAUCAUUUCUUCGCAUGUACCUGCAGUAGCAUUCAAGUAAUGCCCUUUGAUUUCACCUGUUUCAGUCUGUGCUUUAAAAAGUGCUUCGGCACAAAAUAAGAAACGAUCUCUCCAACGCAUAAAUGGUUGUGAGUUCACGUUCUCAUCAUCUUUGGUAAAAUCAAGUCCACCGCGAAGACAUUCAUAAACAGCUCUACCGUAGUUUUUUGCAGAUAACCCCAAUUUAGGUUUAAUAGUACAUCCCAACAGGGGACGACCAUACUUGUUCAAUUUAUCUCUUUCAACUUGGAUCCCAUGAGGCGGACCUUGGAAAGUUUUAACAUAAGCAGGAGGGAUUCGCAGAUCUUCCAGACGUAGAGCGCGCAGGGCUUUGAACCCAAAUACGUUACCUACAAUGGAAGUAAACAUAUUGGUAACGGAACCUUCUUCAAAAAGGUCUAAAGGGUAAGCUACAUAAGCAAUAUAUUGAUCUUUU